rnacentral:rRNA from 1 species
GACGAACGCUGGCGGCGUGCUUAACACAUGCAAGUCGAACGGUAAGGCCCUUCGGGGUACACGAGUGGCGAACGGGUGAGUAACACGUGGGUGAUCUGCCCUGCACUUCGGGAUAAGCCUGGGAAACUGGGUCUAAUACCGGAUAGGACUCCUGGCUUCAUGGUUGGGGGUGGAAAGCUUUUGCGGUGUGGGAUGGGCCCGCGGCCUAUCAGCUUGUUGGUGGGGUAAUGGCCUACCAAGGCGACGACGGGUAGCCGGCCUGAGAGGGUGACCGGUCACACUGGGACUGGGAUACGGCCCAGACUCCUACGGGAGGCAGCAGUGGGGAAUAUUGCACAAUGGGCGCAAGCCUGAUGCAGCGACGCCGCGUGAGGGAUGACAGCCUUCGGGUUGUAAACCUCUUUCAGCUAUGACGAAGCGCAAGUGACGGUAGUAGCAGAAGAAGGACCGGCCAACUACGUGCCAGCAGCCGCAGUAAGAC